AUUAGCCAUGCAUGUCUCAGUACAUGCCGAAUUAAGGUGAAACCGCGAAUGGCUCAUUAAAUCAGUUAUGGUUCAUUAGAUCGUGGACACAUUUACUUGGAUAACUGUGGUAAUUCUAGAGCUAAUACAUGCAAACAGAAUUCCUCUCAGAGAUGGGAGGAAUGCUUUUAUUAGAUCAAAACCAAUCGGUGGCGGACGGCUCGUCCGUUCGUCCAUCGUUUGUUUUGGUGACUCUGAAUAACUUUGUGCUGAUCGCAUGGUCAUCUAGCACCGGCGACGCAUCUUUCAAAUGUCUGCCUUAUCAACUGUCGAUGGUAGGUUCUGCGCCUACCAUGGUUGUAACGGGUAACGGGGAAUCAGGGUUCGAUUCCGGAGAGGGAGCCUGAGAAACAGCUACCACAUCCAAGGAAGGCAGCAGGCGCGCAAAUUACCCACUCCCGGCACGGGGAGGUAGUGACGAAAAAUAACGAUACGGGACUCAUCCGAGGCCCCGUAAUCGGAAUGAGUACACUUUAAAUCCUUUAACGAGGACCAAUUGGAGGGCAAGUCUGGUGCCAGCAGCCGCGGUAAUUCCAGCUCCAAUAGCGUAUAUUAAAGUUGUUGCGGUUAAAAAGCUCGUAGUUGAAUCUGUGUGUCACAGUGUCGGUUCACCGCUCGCGGUGUUUAACUGGCAUUAUGUGGUACGUCCUAUCGGUGGGCUUAGCUCCUUGCGGGCGGUCCAACUAAUAUCCCAUCGCGGUGCUCUUCACUGAGUGUCGAGGUGGGCCGAUACGUUUACUUUGAAAAAAUUAGAGUGCUUAAAGCAGGCUACCUUUGCCUGAAUACUGUGUGCAUGGAAUAAUGGAAUAGGACCUCGGUUCUAUUUUGUUGGUUUUCGGAACCCCGAGGUAAUGAUUAAUAGGGACAGAUGGGGGCAUUCGUAUUGCGACGUUAGAGGUGAAAUUCUUGGAUCGUCGCAAGACGGACAGAAGCGAAAGCAUUUGCCAAAAAUGUUUUCAUUAAUCAAGAACGAAAGUUAGAGGUU
rnacentral:rRNA from 1 species